UGAAAAAGGUAACCGAAGCAGUCGAGACACAAUCUCCUGUGCAAAUGGACACCUGGCUUAUUUACAACGCAAGAACUUUGGGACAAUAUGGCAAGAUCAUAGUUUAAAUUGGUGUACUACGAUCGAGUCAGAAGACGACGACCAAAGCAAACGUGGAAACUUUCACCAUUCCUAUUCACCAACGGUUUCUAGUGAUGACGAUAAUCCUGUCGUGUUUGAAAAAAUAAUGACCGGGAAGCGUAAUAAUAAGAAUAAGCAACCAUCCGUACUGUCACCACCUCCCCCUGAGCUUCCUCCAACAAUUUUUGGGUUUGGAUUGGCAGAAGGAUCUGGAACACAAUUGAAGGGAAAUUCUGAUUUCGCAGAUCCAUAUGGUUUCAAGUCACCAGUUUCAAUAAGAAAGAAGCCAGAAUAUGUUCCCGUAAAAUCAAAGUUUGUAUCCCAAUCAUAUGCUCGGGAGGCCUUAUCUCAGCCGCAAUCUUUACUUCAGUUAAAUGCAAAUGCAACCGAGAGUCAUAUUAUGGAGAGAAGGGGUUCUACUUUGAUAUCCGGUUAGUCACAUGUUAAACAUGCGUAACAAUACUGAACAAUGUUUCGUAUUUUAUACUUAUCCACUUUCGUAAAAUUCUUAACUAGGAUACGAGAGCGACAGCGACCAAGUUUCUGAUGUUGGUUCGAGAUUGGUUAAGAAAAUAGGCAAGUUUGCAAGCACAUUUCAUAUCUGUCAGAAACAAAAAUUUAUGUGAGAUUUUUUUCAAUUCUUAGCAUGUGGACCUCAAUUUUCCCGAUUUGAGAACUAUGUGAUUAACGCUCUUGCCCACAUCGAACAUAAGCUAACAGCUCAAAAUCAAUUAUUGGAGAAGUUAUCCAUUUCAGCGAAUGUCGGACCCAAGAAAGACUAUACUUCUGAAUUUAACUUCAACUUUCCGCUAACUACUUUGGAGGCCCUGAAUGAAUUUGAAGAAUCAUUAAAAAAUUCGAAGAAAUUCAAUGCACUCGUCGAUUACUUAUGGUACACUGGUGGGGGAGAUUACAACGAAUGCAUUUCGAAUAUUCUUUACAAGAUUCUACCAGACAAGUUGGCCACCCAAUUUUGUUGGGAGGGAAUUAGAAAAACUAAUGGAAAACUACCGUUCAAAGACUUGAAGAUCAAGAGUGCAAUUUUUAGUAAAAACGAUUAUCACAUUGAACAUUGAACAUUGAACAUUCUGAAUAUUUAACAAUUCAAGUAGGCAUAUAGCUAUUUUUUAAUUAAUUGUAUACAGAUGCGGUGAAGGCGACGACAACUGGAAAUUGCUCUGAAGUUACAGAGCAUGAUUUUAAGAAGAAAGGUUCGUCAUGGCUACAACAUGCACCAGAUCGCAUUAAGCAGGCUAGCAAAAAGAAGAACAAGCAAAUUGAGGAUGCUGAAGAAGAGGACAAACAAUGAACCUUCUUUUCAUAAAUAUUAUUGCCUAAAUUUCUAAAAUGAUUUUCAAUAUGAGUAGUUAAAUGA